rnacentral:rRNA from 1 species
AAACCAGCACCUCAAGUGGUCAGGAUGAUUAUUGGGCCUAAAGCAUCCGUAGCCUGCUCUGUAAGUUUUCGGUUAAAUCUGUAUGCUCAACAUACAGGCUGCCGGGAAUACUGCAAAGCUAGGGAGUGGGAGAGGUAGACGGUACUCGGGAGGAAGUGGUAAAAUGCUUUGAUCUCUCGAUGACCACCCGUGGCGAAGGCGGUCUACCAGAACACGUCCGACGGUGAGGGAUGAAAGCUGGGGGAGCAAACCGGAUUAGAAACCCCAGUAGUCC